AAUACAGAGUGGGUAGAAAACUGGUGUCAUCACGAAAUCAAAUUGAGUUGUAUCUUUAAUACUGUAUUAAAAUAUAUACGUAGGCUUAGCCACCUAUAUAGAGUCCUUGGAAAUAUACUGAUAUCAAUCUGAUUAAAAUAAGCUGUUCUGAUACGUAGUACAGCCGUAUCGUAUCAGAACAGCUGGUUUCAAUCAGAUUGUGCCUAAAUGAAAUAUGCUAGAAAAAACAUGCUAGAUCUGUACUCAGCGAAAUCAUAUCCAUUUUCUUUUUUUUUCUUAGAAACGAAAAUAGAGUUAGGCUAAAACAACAUUUCAGGAUAAAAUACCACGGUGGCCGAAUUCUUUACAACUAUUCAGAUGAAGAGAAUCCCUUCCACUUUAGCGUCAAAAUAUAAUGAAAUAAUAUAAUUAUUGUUAUCAGCUGGAGUGUGAAAUAGAUGACACCUUUCUUUGAGAAUAUCACAUGAAGAUCUGGAAGGGAUGUGCUAGGAAACGAGUACUGAGUAACAUACUUAUGACUAAGAGCAUUUUUUUUUAAAUCAGAGAAGAAAGGCAAAUAUACCAACUUG